CCGAUCCUCCCACCCUUUGUGUACCCACCUCUGUUGCUUUGGCGGGCCGCGGUCCUCCGCGGCCGCCCUCCGUCCGGGGGGUGGCCAGCGCCCGCCAGAGGACCAUCGAACUCCGGUCAGUGAACGUUGCCGUCUGAAAAACAAUCAAUAAACUAAAACUUUCAACAACGGAUCUCUUGGUUCUGGCAUCGAUGAAGAACGCAGCGAAAUGCGAUAAGUAAUGUGAAUUGCAGAAUUCAGUGAAUCAUCGAAUCUUUGAACGCACAUUGCGCCCCUCGGUAUUCCGAGGGGCAUGCCUGUUCGAGCGUCAUUACAACCCUCAAGCUCUGCUUGGUGUUGGGCACCGCCCUUCCGCGGGCGCGCCUCAAAGACCUCGGCGGUGGCGUCUUGCCUCGAGCGUAGUAGAAAACACCUCGCUUUGGAGCGCACGGCGCCGCCCGCCGGACGAACCUUUUGAACUUUCUCAAGGUUGACCUCGGAUCAG
rnacentral:rRNA from 1 species